GGUCGCUUAGCUCAGUGGUAGACUUUGGAUGCAGAGCAUUCAGAGCAAAACUGGAAGGUCCUGGGCUCGAGUCCCAGAGCAACCA